UAAUUCCGGGACACCAAUCUCCACAGCGCUGUCGGAUAAGGGCUUGCCACUAAUAUCCUAUCGCCUGCAACGCCGUACUGGACAAUGUCUAUUUCACCUGCGUCAGACCUGUUGACUGUUGUCGUCCAUGGCCACACUGUAGCUCUGCCCUUGACCUCCGCCCGUCGCGGAUGAUCAUCCAAGAAGGUUGCCCUCGCAGUGCCCAAACCAGGCUCCACCCGCGCUCACCACCGAGACGAAAUAGCCCUGGUGCGGAUGUAUGAGAGCAGCCCGUGCCGCAGGAGUGUAGGAACUCGGGUCUAAUUUGUUAACAUUGACAAGAUGAUUAAAUCGAAUUGUGCCGCUCGAAACUCUUCCAAGUUUGAGGCCCAUGCUUGUUGCUUCAGUGCCAAAACAAAAAUGUGUUGACAAUAUGCGGUAUAUCAUCAUGUCACUUAUCAUUUAAUUUACACUUCCAAUGUUAUUUAAAUCAUCAUGUCAGUCAGUGCAGCUGGACUCAAGGUUUCCGCUUGGCCGCUAGCCUGCUACCUUGCUUGCUUGCAGAAUUGGAAGAUGUAAGAGGCUGCAGGCAAUUUCUUCAGAGAGAUAUGCAACUGUAUGUGUUUCAAUUGGUGUCUCAGAUAGAACAUUCUUUUUUCAGCCCAACUCGAUCCAAUAGGUGUCUUAGCUCCACUUCCAGAAUCAAGAUGUAGUUUUUAGCCUAGAGAGAAAUGACAAAUAGAUUUCCAGCCACACUUCCAGCUACCCAAUAGGUUUCUGCUUGGUCGCUAGCCCACCUUGUUUGUUGAGAAAGAUGAAAAAUCGAGGAAUGAAAUAUUCUAGAUGUUAGAUAAGCAUGGACAAUUCAUAAUUAUGGCUUGGGUUUAUUUUGCUGUUAUAAUUAGUCUUGUUUUAGACUCAUCGUAACAAUCUCAGUUUGUGAUGAUAUGCAAAAGUUCAAUUCGAUCCGUCACAUCAUUGAUAAAAAAAAAAUCUGCCUACUUGGUUUGUGAGAUUGUCACCUGGUGACAAUUCUGAUUAACCUUUUCUGAUUGAGCACUUGCAGAGAAAAUACAAAAUAAAAUGUUUUAUUUUAAACA